UACCACGUGUGACUGUGUUGAGAGUCCUUUU
rnacentral:piRNA from 1 species